AUGGAAGGGGUUGAGGGAGGGAAGGGAGGUCGAUGCCACCAUGGUGGGAGCGGAGGGUUUAUAAACCUGGACCUGGACCCCUACAUUGACCCCGGAGCCCUUUCCAUGUCCUGCAUCCCUCCAGGACCCCCACGGCUGCGGGCGGCCGUGCAGCUGGUGGAGUCCGGAGGGGGUCUCCAGAAACCCGGGGGGUCCCUCACCCUCCUCUGCAAGGCCUCCGGCUUCACCUUCAGCAGCUCCGAAAUGGGAUGGAUGCGACAGGCGCCCGGGAAGGGGCUCGAGUUCGUCGCGGGUAUUAGUAGCAGUGGUAGUUACACAGACUACGCGCCGUCGGUCAAGGGGCGCUUCACCAUCUCCAGGGACAACUCCCAGAGCACUCUGAAGCUGCAGAUGAACAGCCUCAGGACCGAGGACACGGCCACCUACUACUGCGUCAAGGGGCGCUUCACCAUCUCCAGGGACAACUCCCAGAGCACUCUGAAGCUGCAGAUGAACAGCCUCAAGACCGAGGACACGGCCACCUACUACUGCGCCAAAAGUGCUGCUACUGGUGGUAGUGCUGAUGGUGGUGGCACCAACGCUGUCACCGCAUCCCCAAAUCACAGCAUCUCCCUUGAAGACCUCACACGGUUUUUCAGGUCUUCUGGCACGCCUGGACCCUUCCAUCAAGCAGCAAAACAUUUAUAG